rnacentral:rRNA from 1 species
AACUUGAGAGUUUGAUCCUGGCUCAGAACGAACGCUGGCGGCAUGCCUAACACAUGCAAGUCGAACGAAGUCCUUCGGGGCUUAGUGGCGCACGGGUGCGUAACGCGUGGGAAUCUGCCCCUUGCUUCGGAAUAACAGUUAGAAAUGACUGCUAAUACCGGAUGAUGUCGCAAGACCAAAGAUUUAUCGGCAAGGGAUGAGCCCGCGUAGGAUUAGGUAGUUGGUGGGGUAAAGGCCUACCAAGCCGACGAUCCUUAGCUGGUCUGAGAGGAUGAUCAGCCACACUGGGACUGAGACACGGCCCAGACUCCUACGGGAG